UGCUUGAUUCCCAACUUCUGUAUCCUUUCUCUCCCCACAGAUACCAACCAUCUGGCCCUAAAACAAAUCUCAUCAGUUUAUGAACCAGGCAGCCCAAUCACAGUGCCUAAUUCUCCCUAUCACACAAUUGGUCAAGGAGGGAGCAAGUGACAUAAUCUAAAUUCUUUCCAAAGAUGGAUGCAAAUGCUGGGAAAGCAAGAGUUGAAUUGCUAGCCAUGAGGAAAACGUAAGCCUGAGCUGUUUGCUGGCCAUCUUUGCUUCCACAUGGGGACGGCCUGCCUGGAAAUGAAGCCACACAGAGAAAACAGAAGAGCAGUGAAGAGAAGGGUAAAAGGAGAGAUCCCAUGACAUGAUUUGCACUCUUAGAUCCAGUUAUGCCUGAUGCAGGACCCACCCCUCGGACUUCCCAUUUCCAGGAGCUAAAACUAGACUGAGUUGAGUUUCUGUCACUGACAGUUGACAGAAAAUAUCAACAAUCCAGCCACAUGGAGCCUCAUGGCAGUACCACUAACCCUGGUCACCACAUGAAUACUGACCAGAGGCAUUUCACCUGAAUCAACUGUUUGUGUGCUUAACUCCAUCUCCUCAUCUGCUUCCUGGAAGACCCAACUGACAUAGAUGGUUACAAGAAAUGAUUUCCUCCUUAUAAAACUUUAGAUCGCACUUGCUGCUCUAUGAAGAAGGACUUGGGGAGAAACAAGUAGAAUCAGGGAGAACAGUCCGAGGGCGAUUAAAAUAAUCCAGACGGAAGAUGACUACGUUUUAGUCUGAAGUGAUGGGAGUGGUGAUGGAGAAAAGCAGACGUCUGCGAGUUUUAUUUUGGAGAUAGAGCCACAGGACUUGCAGCAAGCGCUCUGGAGGUGGGAAGGAGGACAAGGAGGAGAGAGGAGCAACCAGAAGCUAUGGUGGCUGUUAGUCUGCAGAAAAUAAUUCAAGACAGAUAUUUGCAAGCUGCAUGGAGCACACGCCCUGUACAUCCAGAUGUCAAUGUGAUCUUUCACAAGCACACUGAAAAAUUCACACCGUGGAAAAGAACUAAAGUCCCAUCCUAAUUCAUCAGAGCCUUCUGUUUCCUGUAACAAAGAAGAACUCACAAGAUCAGGAUUCCAAGGCCAAAGACUCCAGGGACAGAUUUGGGUUAGAAACCUGGCCUCAGGGAAAAGCAAAUGAAGCCUGUUCAUUCCCCAGAAGAGAAGAAAGAGAAUUGCUCACCGUGAUGGGCACACCUCAGCUUUGCUAAUUUAUCGUCCUCAUGAACCGCACCAGCACCCGAGCCUGUUGGAGACAUGACCCAAGGCUUUGGGGGCUUUCUCGCAGCUUCUGCUUAAAUGGAGGCAAGGAGGGAGCCAGUCCUUUCACCAUGACCUCUAAAUGACUCCAGUGCUGAAGGCUGUGGGGCCUUCGAUCACUCGAAAACUAGGAGACAUAUAUUUUUAGAGACAUGCUGUCAUCUGGGCAGCCUUAAGUGGAUGUUUUCUCUGUCUUUCCUCAGAUCUAGUGGGUUUGCAAGAAACCCUCCCAGGGCAGCAGCCUUAGAGGAAGUGCCUGCUAAUGCAAGAAGGAGGGCAAGGGGGACAGCAAGCUGGAGCCUGGAGCUGCUCACGCGCUUGGAAUCCUCGGCGGGCGCAGGCGGGGAUUUACGGACCUGCCUUUUCCCUCAUCAUUCCGCAGGAAGCUUCUUUAAAUGAGCCUCAGCCCAGCAGCUCUCAUGGGGCCUGGUGUUUAUAGUGGAGACUGAGAUAAAAGAACCGUGGAGAUGCCAGCCCUGGAUACCGACCCCACGGUCCAGGAAUCAUCAACUGGGCCCGAGGGCAAAUCAUGUUCUGUUUUCUCUGUGCGAAAUGCCAGAAUGCUCCUGCCUCGAAGAGGUUGACUCUGUUGUCAGCUGUGGGAAAAAACAGCCAGAGUUGCUAUUUACACCCUGAACUGCAAGCUGGGUAAAAAUAGCGCUAGCAGCUUGGUCCAGCUUCAAACCCCACUGCAGAGAGAUUAUUUUUGGAAGAGAAGAUUUUCCUCCCCACCCACAGAUCUGAAAAUGGUCACCUCCCCGGAAGAAAGGAGGAGAGAUGAUCCCACGCAAAGGUGAAACCUACCCCCUUCCCACUUUCCCUGCCCAGGACAGCACAUCAAGAGACAGACAAGAAAUGCCCUCCCCUGACAGCAGGUCAGGCCCAGCACAGCCCUGCAGCUGACCUAGUUCAAGGUACAGUGAGAAUUAAUUAACUUUGACUAAGUGAGAGGAGGCAGCUUUCUGAACCUGGAUGCUGCACCAUCCUGUUGCUUGUUAUGGCUAAAGGCAGAAAAAAUAAUUGAUCAAAAGAGUACGCAAGACCCCAAAACAAUAGCUCAGAGCCUGAGGGUCAGGAAAUUACUCUCCAGCCCUCCCACUCCGGAUAGGCCGUGAUACGGCUGUAAAAUGAUGAACAAAUUCCCAAAAGCUUGGUCUGGUCCUGUUUCUGUGUUGAGAACCCCUGGCAGCUGGGGGCUGAAAAUUCUUCCCUCAGCUACUUGCUAGAGCUCAGGACCCGGUGUCUGGAGUUCCAGAACCUCCUUCAGGUUCAGGAAGUGAUCCACAUGACAAUCAGUGGAAGAAAAGUCAUUCCUCAAUAGCAUGCCCUUUAUUCUGUAAAAAGAUAUUUUAUAGGUACAUCUAAGUAUGUGGAUUAUGCUAUCUUAGAACUCUAAAAAGAUAUACACAUGUGGAUAGUUCUUAUCAGGUAAAACUAUAUUAAGACUAUGUGAAAAACAGCAGAGAAAAAUACCAGAUCCAUGGUGUCAUGAAAUUGUUCUAUAAUCUGAAAGCGCCCAGGCUGCCCAGAGCUGAAACCAAGAGGUGCUUAAUAAGUAUUUUUAGGGAGGAAGAGAAAACACCUCCCACAUCCUACCUCCAUCCAAACCUCCUUCUACGGAGAUCCAGGAACCAAAACGAAUCUUCCAGUUUGAGAAGACAUACCUCGGCAUCCCCACCCACCUGAAAGAAAGGCGAGAGAAUGACAUAGCGCUCCCCCAACCUCUCAGCACCCCCUACCCAACACACCAGAUCUUCACUACCCUGGCCUCAGUGUGAGCACUGGGGUAGCAACAAAGUCGGGGACACCUGGGUCUAGGUGGAAGUGGCACAGAUGGGCAUGUGCCAGGGGCACAAGGGCAGCUCAUGCCUGGCUUCUCCUCCGGCGGCAGACAGACUGAGGUUUUAGUCUCAUCAUUGUCACCUGCUAGCUGUAUGACCAACUCACUUCACCUUUUUGAAAUCUGUUUUCCUCGCUAAGAGGGCUGAUACCACCCACCUGCUGGGGUUGGUGAGAACGAGCUGAAGCAGCACGUGUGAAGGCUGUUUGGUGGCUGCUGCAGAGUGAGGGCUAUUGUGCAUCCAGGGGCAGUCCUGUUUCUCCGGGGCAUAUCCUGAGCCAGAUUCGGGGAUCUGUCUUACUUCCAGCUACCUGACGAUGGGGAGUCUACCAGACGGCUAAAGUCUGAACUCUCUGAGAAAUGCAUGGCAUUGACAGAAAUUGCUAAAAAUGUCCUUUCUCCACAGUGUGAGGCCCUCCUGCACCCUGCCCUUCAUUUACUGUGGCCCUUCACCUGAAAUGAAAAUGGUCACCUCCAAGGAGCCAGAAACAGAAUCUCCCUAAUUGGGUGUCUCUGCCAAUGGGUUGUCCGGCCAGCUAAGGGCUGGCUCAGCACAGGCUUCUCAGCUGAGGGAGGUCACGGAAAUGGAGUCCCAGUGCCCCUUUCCAAGUCUCAUCUACUCAUGACAUCGGGAGGGAAGAGUUGCCGCUCUGCUGAGUCAUAGCUAUUUAAGCCAUCAGUACUCCGGGCUCGGAGACUCCCCAAGGACCUGGGAAAGACAGCUCAAUAUCCCUUUGAUCAGGACUGCUUCGGGUUUCUAUUUCCAAAGUUGAGAAAUCCAGAUAAUGCUGACUCCUGCCCAGGAACGAAGUGAGAAGUGAGCUCAGGUCUUUCUCACUGACCUCCUGCUGAGAAUUGUAGGCCAAGGUGGCCGGGCUCUCCCUUCCAGCCUAAGUCAGCUUCCUUCUGAGUCAGCUUUCUUCACCUCCCUAUUAAUAGCCACUGCUUUGGCUGACUCCAUGCACAGUAUGAUUACAGUUUAAUAAUACGUCUCAAACCAGGAAGCAGUCACCUUCCUGGAGCUGGGCUGUGGAGGGCCCCCAGAGCAGAGGCUCCAUCCCAGAAAACAGAGGCCAGAACAGCUGCAGAGAGGCUGGGGAGACAACGUAAUUGGCCUGCAAGACAAGUCACUGCUUUGGGGUUUCUGUCUCACUGAGCUUCCUUUUGUUUAGCGCAGGAGACAUGGACACAGGCUAACUUUCAUUUUAUUCUCACAGAUAUUCUUGGGCAGGACUGAAAAAGUGUGGCUAUCUUAUCCAAUUAUGCAGACCCCUCAGCUCACUGGAACGGCCAGUUCUAGGCCAACCUGGGGUUAGCCCCUUCCAGUGUCACCUUUUCCCUGUCACGACAGUAACACGGUGGCCUACUUAAAGAGGCUCAGGGCCAGGUGCAGUGGCUCACACCUGUAAUCCCAGCACUUUGGGAGGCCAAGGUGGGCGGAUCACGGAUCACCUGAGGUCAGGAGUUCAGGACCAGCCUGGCCAACAUGGUGAAACCCCAUCAUUACAAAAAUACAAAAAUUAGCUGGGCAUGAUGGCAGGUGCCUGUAAUCCCAGCUACUCGGGAGGCUGAGAUGGGAGAAUCACUUGAACCCAGGAGGCAGAGGUUGCAGUGAGCCAAGAUCGAGCCACUGCACUCCAGCCUGGGCAAUACAGUGAGACUCUGUCUCAAAAAAAAAAAAAGGAUCAGAUUGUCCAGAUGGGAUGGGAUGCUGAGACCAGAAUGAACCCCAGCAAAAAAUAAAUAAUUUUUUUUUCACUUCA